rnacentral:rRNA from 1 species
CCUACGGGAGGCAGCAGUGGGGAAUUUUGGACAAUGGGCGCAAGCCUGAUCCAGCCAUGCCGCGUGAGUGAAGAAGGCCUUCGGGUUGUAAAGCUCUUUCGCAAGGGAAGAAAACGUGUGGGCUAAUAUCCUGCGCGGAUGACGGUACCUUGACAAGAAGCACCGGCUAACUACGUGCCAGCAGCCGCGGUAAUACGUAGGGUGCGAGCGUUAAUCGGAAUUACUGGGCGUAAAGCGUGCGCAGGCGGUUGUGUAAGACAGGUGUGAAAUCCCCGGGCUUAACCUGGGAACUGCGCUUGUGACUGCACGGCUAGAGUACGGCAGAGGGGGGUGGAAUUCCUGGUGUAGCAGUGAAAUGCGUAGAUAUCAGGAGGAACACCGAUGGCGAAGGCAGCCCCCUGGGCCUGUACUGACGCUCAUGCACGAAAGCGUGGGGAGCAAACAGGAUUAGAUACCCUGGUAGUCCACGCCCUAAACGAUGUCAACUAGUUGUUCGUAGAGGUAACUCUGUGAGUAACGCAGCUAACGCGUGAAGUUGACCGCCUGGGGAGUACGGCCGCAAGGUUAAAACUCAAAGGAAUGA